rnacentral:lncRNA from 1 species
AUAUCUUUGUGUCACUGCUCUCCCGGGACAGUGUAUAUGACCUGCUGAGGAGAGUCUGCACCCACCUACAGCCUUCCAGCAAGAAGAGUCUGAGUGUAAGAGAAUUUUCAGGGGAACCUGAGUCUCUGGAAGUCCUCAUCCCUGAGAUGAAGUGGAGAAAGGUAUGCCCUUCCUCCAGGUCCCUGUCUCUCCCAGACAACAUCCCUUGUAUCCCUCCAUCAUCCGUGGACUCCACAGACAGUUUCUUCCCCUCCAGGAAGCCUCCAAUGUCUGAAAAGUCAAGAGCCCAAGUAGCUUCAGAAAAUGGUGGGAGGUGGGCAUGGCCCAUGCCAGGCUGGGGUCCUGCCUGCCCUAAGAAGAUGCCGAACUGCUCUCCCACUGCAAAGAAUGCUGUCUAUGAGGAGGAUGAGCUGGAGGAGGAGCCCAGGAGCACUGGGGAGCUGAGGCUCUGGGAUUACCGGCUCCUCAAGGUCUUCUUUGUGCUGACCAGUAGAGCAGGGAGCAUCGUGGGAAGUGACAUGAACAGCCAGCCCCUGCUUUCCCUCACCUUAGCUCAUCAGCCUCCUCUGGCUCGGCUGGCCGGGUUUUGACCAUCAACAUC